UACAGAGGAUGCAAGCGUUAUCCGGAAUGAUUGGGCGUAAAGCGUCUGUAGGCGCUUUUUAAGUCCGCCGUCAAAUCCCAGGGCUCAACUCUGGACAGGCGGUGGAAACUACCAAGCUGGAGUACGGUAGGGGCAGAGGGAAUUUCCGGUGGAGCGGUGGAAUGCGUAGAGAUCGGGAAGAACAUCAGUGGCGAAGGCGGCCUGCUGGGCUGUUGCUGACGCUGAGGCGCGACAGCGUGGGGAGCAAACAGG
rnacentral:rRNA from 1 species